UACAGAGGGUGCAAGCGUUGUUCGGAAUUAUUGGGCGUAAAGAGCGUGUAGGCGGCCAUGCAGGUCAGCUGUGAAAACUCGAGGCUCAACCUCGAGACGUCGGUUGAAACCGUAUGGCUAGAGUCCGGAAGAGGAGAGUGGAAUUCCUGGUGUAGCGGUGAAAUGCGCAGAUAUCAGGAGGAACACCAAUGGCGAAGGCAGCUCGCUGGGACGUGACUGACGCUGAGACGCGAAAGCGUGGGGAGCAAACAGG
rnacentral:rRNA from 1 species